GACAUGAAAUAUUAAAUUGUGGGCGAGUUGUUUUUUACAUGCAGAUAUGUGCUUUACUGGGUUUCUAGGGCAAUCCUGUGUGCACGGUCUCAGUACUUCCGCGCUAUGCUCAGUGGAAGCUGGAUGGAGAGCUCUAGACAGUGCAUCACUCUGCAAGGCUUAGGACCGGAGGAAAUGGAAAUCUUGCUCCAGUUCAUGUACGGAGCCAUCGUGGAUCUGCCCAGUGGAGCUAACGCCAGCCAAGUGGUGCUGGCUGCAGAUAUGUUGGGACUGGAAGGACUCAAAGACGUUGUGGAGAUGGUUCUUACCCGGGAUUACUGCCGCUUCU